rnacentral:rRNA from 1 species
AUUGAACGCUGGCGGCAGGCCUAACACAUGCAAGUCGAACGAGUGGCGGACGGGUGAGUAAUGUCUGGGAAACUGCCUGAUGGAGGGGGAUAACUACUGGAAACGGUAGAUAAUACCGCAUACCAUCGGAUGUGCCCAGAUGGGAUUAGCUAGUAGGUGGGGUAAAGGCUCACCAAGGCGACGAUCCCUAGCUGGUCUGCGAGGAUGACCAGCCACACUGGACCUGAGACACGGUCCAGACUCCUACGGGAGGCAGCAGUGGGGAAUAUUGCACAAGGGGCGCAAGCCUGAUGCAGCCAUGCCGCGUGUAUGAAGAAGGCCUUCGGGUUUUAAAGUACUUUCAGCGGGGAGGCGUUACCCGCAGAAGAAGCACCGGCUAACUCCGUGCCAGCCGCCGCGGUAAUAC